rnacentral:rRNA from 1 species
UACGAAGGGGGCUAGCGUUGUUCGGAUUUACUGGGCGUAAAGCGCACGUAGGCGGAUUGCUAAGUCAGGGGUGAAAUCCUGGAGCUCAACUCCAGAACUGCCUUUGAUACUGGCGAUCUCGAGUCCGGGAGAGGUGAGUGGAACUGCGAGUGUAGAGGUGAAAUUCGUAGAUAUUCGCAAGAACACCAGUGGCGAAGGCGGCUCACUGGCCCGGUACUGACGCUGAGGUGCGAAAGCGCGGGGAGCAAACAGG